UGUUGGGGCGCCCCAGGAAUGUGGUUAGGAACCACUCCUCUAUACACCUUUUAGGGACAGAUGAGGUACAGUUGUUUGCCUAUUAAGGUACUAGUAAAGUGACAAGCAGUUGUACCCCUAAAGAAGUAAGACUUCCGCUGCUGAAGCAUUAGCAGUAGCAGUCUCAGAGAGAAUGGCUCGUCACUCCAUGGAAGAGAGGGGUGAGGCCUGCUGUCCUGCUCUUGUGAACUGGCUGGCUCCCAGCAGAGCACUAAAAGCGAUCUCCAAAUGCACAUGAGACCAGAAGAGCAAUUAGGCCCGAUUAGCACCGCAGAUGUGAGAUGCCACCAAGUUGAAGUCGCUCUGCACAAGUAGGCUCUG